GAUUUCUGGUUUGGUGCGCGCUGUCCGGCUCGGUUACGGGCUGUGUACAGUUGUGCGCCUGCCAUCCUUCCGGUUGCGAUUCUACCCUUCACUGGGCCGGAGUCGUAUUCUGGGUCUUUUACUUUGAAAAAAUUAGAGUGUUUAAAGCAGGCUUGCGCUAUGAAUACAUUAGCAUGGAAUAAUAAUUUAGGACUUCUGUUCUAUUUUGUUGGUUUCUAGGAUGGAAGUAAUGAUUGAUAGGGAUAGUUGGGGGUGCUAGUAUUCAGCGGCCAGAGGUGAAAUUCUUGGAUUCGCUGAAGACUAACUUAUGCGAAAGCAUU
rnacentral:rRNA from 2 species